GCUAGGGAGAGCAGAGAUGUAGGAGGAAUGGAGAGCCGCGCAGGUACCAAUUGCCAAUACUACAUGAGUAAUCUGGAGAAAACCACUCAAUUCCUUUGACUCUCAGCACCUCCAGGGGUAAAAUCACUGUUGGCAAUACUUGAAGAAUCAGGGGCCCACUAACACUGCCCACGUUCUGCAAAGCAGACAUUAUAUGAACUUGAUGGUAAGCCCCAACUGCUGAAGACACUACAAACUUGACUAAUAGCGCAUGGAGAAAUCAAGCCACAGCCUCGAAGCUUCAUCCGUCCUGACUAAAUUUCAGAUGGCAAGAAAGUGUUCUGCACCAUACCAGAGGAGAAAAGUGAUCAAUAGUCUUACCUAACUGUGAACGCUUAAAAUUAUGAUAAUGUUUCAUCUGGCUGGUACAUACAAGAGUGGCAUGGGUGUUACAGCAGUAACUAGUUACUUUAUAAUUGGAUAUAAAGCCAGCCUGUUCCACCAGAGAAAACUCAUAACUAGUACAAUUAACUGAGCCAAAAAUUCCAUUUCUAUACAAGUCAAUAGCCAGAGUCCUUAGAGAAACUUUGGUUGUCAUUGUUGCUGUUGUUUCAGUUAAUGGUAAUUACUACAGACACAUACAACUGGUCAGCACACAGGGAAUGUCACAACUCUUCACUGCAAGGCUUGGGGAUCAUCAUGGAAGAGGGUGCAAAAAGAAUGUAAAGAGUGUUAAGAGCCAGAAGUAGCAGAUGUCCACAAUGUCACAGCAUUUCCUGGUCAUGACUAGGAUAUUGCAUACCUGAACUCUUAGCAGCUGUGAUUGUAUGUACAAGUGAAAUUAUCAAAUAAGCUAAACUUCUAGCACAGAUAUGGGGUAGCCUAUGACGUCUCAGGCAUUGCUGAGAAGCUACAGUUAGUUGAUGGUUUGUAGCGGAGGUAAUGUCAAUUUUAUUUUGGAAUGUGACCACUGAGAGAUGGUCCUACACUCAUGUUCAGUAGGUGCUUGUAGAUAACAGUGAGCAGACCCAGUGGAUUUUUCAAAGAGACUACGAAGUUAAAAAGAAGUGGUUGAUAAAGAGGAGAGGAGCGGGGCUGGAGAGAUGGCUCAGCGGUUAAGAGCACUGACUGCUCUU